AACACCACCUGCCAACAUUCAGCCUCCUCUGCCCAUCAGCCUUGCUGACACAGGGAGUGGAGAUUUGUGUAGAGAAAUGACUCAUUCAAAUAUGACUUAAUCUAAACCGUAAGUGUAUGAUUUAUUAAUGUGCCACCAGGCCUUACACCAAGAGAGCCAUUCCAGAGAAAAGUCCUUUUUCUCCUGAGAACAGUGCCAGCAGCUGGCUUCGUGACAUUCUGGAAGCCCCGUGCAAUGCUGUCAGGAGCAUAGGGAUUUUACUUUAUCUCCCUUGCUUAUGCUCCACAUAACUGAAAUAUCUCACUGGAAGCUGCAGCAGUGCUGGCCCCUUGCACAGCCAUAUGUGACCACUGCAGAACAAUCAGUUGGAGAGACAGUUUGGACUACAUGGAGGGUGGAGAUAAGGACAAAGUGAAGAAUACACAGGAACCAGUGCCUCCUCCUGGAACUAUGCAACUCCAAGCUGCUUCCAUCAGCUGCUAGGUCCAGUAGGGAGGGACCUACUGAGAGAAGGUGCCUGCUUCCCUUUCCGCUGUGAUUGUAAGUUUCCUGAGGCCUCCUCAGCCAUGUGGAACUGUGAGUCAAUGAAACCUGUUUCCUUUAUAAAUUACUCAGUCUCUGGUAUUCCUUUAUAGCAGUGUGAAAAUGGACUAAUAUACUUGCCCUUCAUCCCAACGAUGGAUUUAAGACUAGAGACAUUUCAAAUAGUAGGUUUUUUGCCAAAUGCCUUUCGCUGUAGAAAUUCUAUACAUGGCCUUUGUCUGUUACACUGGAAGUCCUGCCACUUCUUAGAUGGUGGAGAUUAAAACAGCGAUUUCUUGUGGUGGUGGCGGGGCUGGGGUUGGGAACAUUGAGGAUAAGGUGGGAGCUGCCCAUCUCAGACACUACUGAGAUAGUGGGAUGGGCCACAUAAAUGUCUAUGGAAGAGAUGCCUUUGCCAUACAAUUCCUUCAACAAAUACUCAUUGAUCACACACCAUAUCUGGGGGUGUAGCUGAGAACAAAACAAAGCUCCUGUUUUGAGGAGCUUUAGGCUGUAGAGAAAACAGAAAAUAAACAAGCAAGCAAAUGGAUGUUUUUAAGUGGCAAAAGUGCUAUAAAGGAAACAAGUAGUGGGAUGAGAUGAGGGGAGGAGAACUUCAGGUAAGGUGGCAUCAGAGCAGGAAGCUGAACUGAGGGUGAGUGAGCUGAGCUCAACAGAAAGGACUGUUGGACUGAGCCAGCCACAUGGAGAUCUGGAGAAGGGAAGAGGGCACUACCAUUUUGUUUUUGUUUUUUAUUGGAUUUAAGACGUCACUAUUGUACCUCUAAAAGAAAAAAAAAAACUGUAAUUAUAAUUGUAAAUUACAAAAUUGAUUGUAAAACACAUUUUGAUAACAAUGAAUUAAAAUAUGUUAAAUUACAUGCCUUAGCAUCAAUAUAUUAGUUCAAAAGCCCAGAAGUGUUAAACAAGCUUAGUGCUUAUCUAAGCAACUGAAAAGAAUCUGAUAUGUUUAUAGUUGGUGAAUGACAGAGAAAAAGAUAUGAGGUUUCAGGGGGGCAAAAGGAUAAAUCUUGAGGUCUUAGUUUAAUUAAAAACGGGUGAUGAUACCAUUUACUGAGAUAGGAGAGAUUUCAGGUUGCCAAGAUGUCAAUUUCAGACAUAUUUUAUAUAUGUUAAGUGACAAUUAAGAGAAGGAGGGUUAAAAGGAGACUUAAGAUUCAGUGAAAACUCAAGGUUUAUGAAGACUUUUGCUCCAUAUCCAUCAGGAAACCAGAAAUCCCUGAAAUUAAUAGCUGAAUAAAUAGAAUAAGGUCAACAUUAUUUUUAACACAUAUUUUUAUGUCAUAUGCAUACUAUGUCACCAUAAUCAGUAAACUGUUAAAGUGCCAGAAAAUGCUUCUACAUCAUUUUCAUUCUGACAGGAAGUAGAUAGAAAUGGCAUGUAUCUACGAAGCCAAGUUCUUUCAAAAUUUACAGCUUAAUUUCUCCAAUUGUUUAGAGUGAUAAAUUUUUCACUGAGGCCAUUGACCAGCACAAUAAUUGUGUCUACACAGCAUGUUUAUAUCAAAUACCAUUGCAUCUGUUAUGUCCUGUUCAUGCUGUGACCUUCCCAGAAGGCAGUUAGGGAUUGAAACUAGUACGCACAAUAGUGUAGAUCAGAAAACUGAUGUCAGGCUCUAGUGACAUGUGUAGGUACUGGCAGAACUGGAAUUAGAACCAGAUUUCUACAGUUGCACCCCUGGUUCUUUGCUCCAAAUGCUAAAGCCCUUGGUUAUUUGAUUUUCCUGUUGUCUUUAUCCUAUCCCCAGGCUCUAUUUGGGUUUCUGUAGUGAAAUUAAGGAUAACCUCAUCUGCAUGCUGUACUUUCUUAAAUAGAUUUUUCUAAUCUCCCAUACUCCCACAACCAUAAAUGACAAAAUACAAGCAUGCUUAGGAUCAUUGUGCCCCACAAUAAAAAAAGCUGUUGCUAUGUUUUGGAAACAGAUCAAUCUUGGUAUUUAAGUGUUGUUUGAACAAAGAUUAACUGAGCCUGUUCUCCUCCCCCAGGUACUCAGACCCAGAACAUACUGUUUUCACUCCAAGAGUCUGAAUGUCUCUUUUCUGAGAAAGAUGAAGAAAAAGUACUUUUUUCAUGAAUUUAAUACUCAUUAAAGUCAAUAGUCGGAAAGCCUGGCUAAUUAGCAGACUUCUUCAGAGGACUUUAAAUAAUAUAGUUACUGUAUUUUUAUUAUAUUGAAAUCUCCAAAUAUAUAAAGUUAGAAUCUUCAAGGUGGGAGGAAGAGGAGAAAUUGGAUUUCUCUAAGCUCCCUAGUGAUUCUGAUGAUGACUCAUUUGGGGAAGUGCAGCAUUGAAUGGCCCUUCUAAAAUGAGGACAGCUAUUUUUUGGACUAAGCACCCCUCCCGACUCUCCCCAUUCCUCAUCCUCUCAGAGACUUCUCUCUCUCAGAUUGCCCCAUCUGUCUCAUGUAUUAUAAUCACUUCCCCUCUACUGGUUUCUUCUCAUACGUUUAACUUGUUCAAGUGCCUUCCAUCUUUAAAAACAGUCAAGGCACAGCCCUUGAUUUAACCAUAGGAAGCCCGCUCCCCACCACCCUGCCAUCAGCUCUCUUCUUCCUGUGUAGUGAGCACUGCUUCUUUGAGCUUCUGAAAGCUGUAGUCACUGCCUCUUGCUGGUAACUGAAAGCACAUUUCUAAGUUCGCAUAUUCCCUGACUUCUUGACAGCACUCAUGACUCGCCAUCUCCUUUUCUGGAACACUGUUUGCUUGGCUUUCACAAUAUCAUGCUUUUCUAGUUCUUUUUCCUGUUUUGGACACUGCUUUACAGAGAAUUAACAUUCCUCUUUUUCCCGCUGACCCUGAAUCAAGAAAGAAUCAUGUUUCUUUCUUUAUUUUUUAUAUCUUAACUUUUGAGGGGUAGAUUUUCAAGCAUACAUAAAAGUGAAGAGAACAGGAUAAUGAACUAGGUGUACACAUGACUGCAUCUUAUCAGUGCAAUACACACUCAUAUUACUUUUUCUAUACUUCAUCCAUUUUCUCCCUGCUCCCUGACUUGGAUCAAAUCCCAGACAUUACAUUAUUUAACCUGCAAAUAUUUCAUCAUAUAUAUGUGGGAAUAUAUAGAUCUCUAUCACUAUAUAUAGUGAGAAUUUCUUUCAAAGAAAAGAUAAUCACAAUAUUAUAAUCUCAUCAAAUGUAGUUGUUAUAAUUCCUUAAUGUCAGUCUAAUAACAAUCCUGUUUUCACAAUUUCUUCUCUUGUAGAUUUUUAAAAAUUAAUUUUGUUGAAUUGAAAUCUAAAUAAGAUACAGAGAUAAAGAUUCAUUGACAUGUCCCUUAAGUAUUUUAGUUUAUAGGCUGUCCUACUAUAUUCCCUGCCUCUUCUUGCAUUUUAUCUUGAUUCAGUUGAAAACUCUGGGUCAUUUGUCUUAUAAAGUUCAUGGGGUCUGCAAUUUGGUGAAGGUGUCCUUUUGGCAUUAUUUAACAUGCGUCUCUGUUCCUUGUAUUUUCUAGAAAUUAUUGGUUAUAUCUAGAGGUUUGAUCAGAUUUAGGUGAAAUUAUAAAAAGAUUCCGUCAUAGGUGAUUUUGUGAAGUUCCAUCAGAAGGUACCCAUCUGGUUUUCUCUCCUUUUGUGAUGCUAGCAGCCACUGAAUAUGGUAAUCUACUCCAAUCAUUAACUAAAUUUCUUUUCUGGAAUUAUUCCAAAAGAGAAACUUUUUUCAUCAUGCAUUUGGUUGUCCUGAGGUAUGAUUGUAUAGGAAAAACAGGAUAACCUACUGAUACUUUCUGUUUAAACUAGUAUUCAAAAUAAUAAAAGUAGUCCCCUAGUAUUAUCUAAAGAUUUCAAAAGACUUUUAAAAAAAUUAUUGAUGAUUUUAUGAGCUCAGGGAUUAAACAUAGUCAAUCUGUUUCAAUCCCUUGCAGUUAUUCCAAUUAAUAAUCAAAUUUUCCUGCCUUUGGCUUGCGGCAGCGUAUUCAUGUUGAAUUCUGGGUCACUUUGACAUGACUCCAGUUGUCUUUGAUGGUAUCCUUUUUGUGACAAAAUGUCCCAGGAUUAUAAUUUCCUGUCCCAUACUGGGAAACAGCCAGUUCUCCAAAGAGCUCUGGAACCAUUCAGUGAGAAAUGUAUUUAGAUGCAACAUUCUGGGUGCUAAGCAUGCCCAUUAACCUGAUCAAUCUCACGUCUUUCCUUUCUUUCAGCAUUGCCAGAAAACUCAUUUCUCAGUGACACCAUUGUAAUUACUCAUUUGAUUAUCCCGCAAUACACAUAUAAGAGUCUCAGGAAAACAGUACCAUCAGCAUUAUAUGGUAAUAUCUACAAGCACUUUAAUAUUUUCUUAUUGGGGGUACACUUUUUUCCAUAGAGAAUAUUUUACUAGGUAAGAACAAUAAUAUUGAUAUGUUUUAAUUUUUCUUGAAGUGGUUCUUCUGUAUGAGGUUAUAUCACCAAGUAGAUAUACAGUUAUAAUGUUUGAUUAUUACACAUUGCUUUUCUUAAAAUUUAAUUUUGUUUUAAAGCUAUUAAAAUCAGGUUUCUUAAAGAAAGAUCCUCAUUCUAUCUGGAUCAAAAUCACUUUCAGAGCUAAUUAAAAAUGUGGUGUCCUGGACUCACGAAGCCAGAAUUGCUGAGGAGAUAGCCCGAGAAUCUGAAUUUUUAGCAGACAUUUUUUUAGCAUUUCUCUCAGGUACCUUACCCGCAGGAUCAUUUCUGUGAAUAUCCAUGAGGUGAAAAAGUCUGGGAAACACUGUCCUAGGGUGUGGGGAAGAGCGAGAAAAAGAUUUCCGCUCUGGAAGGUAAACAAAUACUCUCUGGAGAGAGAAGAGGAAUGUCCCUAGCAGAUGUCUCCAGAGAAGACAAGACUUUAAAUUCCGCCAGGGAAAUAUACAAUGUCUAACUUCUAAGGCACAUUUGCCAUUCAAUCAUGCUUUAACCCACGUUGCCAGAAAUUUUUGCUCACUAGGUUUUGACUGUACAGGAAUGUGAAAAUAUUCAUGAAGAGUUGUUUUCCAAUGCUAAAGAAUUGAUGUGUUUUAACAGUUGAAUUAAUUGUAUUGAUUAUGAUCACACCUACUUUUUAUAUAUCUUCAUUUCUAACGUUUCUGUACAAUCCUGCCUUUCCACCUGAUAUAGUUAGGCCUUGUGUCAUCAACCAAAUCUCAUCUUGAAUUGUAAUCGCCAUAAUCCCCACGUAUUUAGGGAGAGACCUGGAGGGAGGUGUUUGGAUCAUGGGGGCGGUUUCCCGCAUGCUGUUCUCAUGACCAUGAGAGUAAGUUCUCAAGAGAUCUGAUGGUUUUAUAAGCGUCUGUCAUUUCCACUGCUUGCACUUCUGUGUCCUGCCACCUUGUGAAGAAGGACGUGGUUGCUUCCCCUUCCACCAUGAUUGUGUUUCCUGAGGCCUCCCCAGCCUUGCAGAGCUGUGAGUCAAUUAAACCUCUUUCCUUUAUAAAUUACUCAGUCUCUGUAUUCCUCUGCAGCAGUGUGAGAACAGACUAAUACAUCACCACUUUAUUUACUUUACUCUCUCCCCAUACCGAGGUUUUCUACAUUUUCUUUCUAGGUCUCUACAGUUUCUGCAAAGAUCCUUUAUGGAACUCUUAGGGAAGCUGGGAUGUAUAAUAAAUAAAGGGCUCUUUUCUUUGAGUCCCACACCCAUUUUCUGUGUAUAAAAAUCUUCAACUCCACUUUUGUCUGUUCUAUUUAAAUGUGUGCACAUUUCCUUCUAAUGUUGUAUAUGAAAAAGAGACACCUCUUAGCAGUCUUUCAUAGAGCAAAAUUUUUUACUUUGAUAAAAUCUAAUUUAUCAAUAUUUUUAAAUUUUAUGGAUCAAUCAUGCUUUUGAGGUUGAAUUUAAGAAUGCUUUGCCUAGCCCUAGAUCCCAAGUAUCUUUUAAAAAUUAUUUUUCUAAAUGCAUUAUUUAUGUUUUACACUUAAGUCUAUAAUCCAUUUUGAGUCCAUGUGUAAGAUUUAGGUUAAGGUCAAGAUUUAUCUGUUUUUGUUGUUUUCUCUAUAAAUGUCAAUUGCUCCAGCACUAUUUGUUUAAAAGCCAAUCUUUCCUCCGCUGAGUUCUUCCUAUAAGUUUGUCAAAAGUCAAUUUGGCAUCUUUGUAUAAGUUUAUUUCUGGAUUCUCUAUUCUGUUUUAUUGAUCACUGCAUCUAUCCCUCUUGAUUAGCUAGAUAAUAAAUCCUACAAUAAGGUAGAAUUCUUCCCACUUUAUUCAUAUUCAAAAUAUUUUAAAGCUAUUCUAGUUUCUUUUUAUUUCCAUAUAUAUUUUAGGAUAAUCUUAUCUAUAUUUACAACAUAUGUUGCUAGGAUUUUGAUAGAAUUUGUUUUAAAUUUGUGUAUCAAUGUAGGGAAGACCUGACAUCUUUACUAUUACGUUGAUCUUCCAAUCAAUGAAUAUGGUAUAUCUCUCAGUUUAUAGCUAUUGUCUUUAAUUUAUUUCAUCAUGGUUUUUAGUUUUCAGCAGAGAAGCUUUAUACAUGUUUUGUUAUACAUGUAUAACAAAAGAAGCCUUAUACACUGACAUUUUAUAUUUUGAACAAUUGUAAAUGGUAUUGUUUAAAAAUUUUGUUGUCUAUGAUAGAAAUAAAAUUGAUUUUUGUAGGUUUAUCUUGUAACCUAUGACUUGCUGAGCUCGCUCAUUAGUUUUUUUAUUGUGAUAAAAUAUACAUGAGAUAAAUUUCAUCAUUAUAAUCAUUAAGUUUAGACAUCAAUUGCAUUAAGUACAUAAAUGCCUUAUGCAACCAUCAUCUCUAUCCAUCUCCAGACCCUUUGCAUCACCCUAAAAUGAAACUCUGUGCCCAUUAAACAAUAACUCCCCAUUCUGCCCUCACCCCAGCCCUUGGUAAUUACCAUCCUACCUUUUAUCUCUAUAAAUUUAACCAUCCCAGGUAACUCAUAUAAGUGGAAUCAUGCAGUGUUUGUCCUUUUGUAACUGGUUUAUUUCACUUAGCAUGAUGUCUUCAAGGUUUGCCUAUGUCAUAGCAUGUGUCAGAAUUUCAUCCCUUUUUAAACUUAAAUAAUAUUCCACUGUAGGCAUAUGCCACAUUUUGUUUAUUUGUUCAUCUGUUGAUGGGCAUUUGGGUUGUUUCCACCUUUUGGCUACUGUGAAUAAUGCUGCUGUGAUCAUGGGUAUGCAACUGUCUCCUGGAGUCCCUGCUAUCAAUUCUUGUGGGUAUAUACCCAGAAGUGGAAUUGUUGCAACAUAUAGUAAUUCUAUGUUUAAUUUUUUGAGGACCUGCCAUAAUGUUUUCCACAGUAGCUACAUUGUCUUAUAUUCCCAUUAAGAGUUCCAAUUUCCUCACAUCUUCACCAAUACUUAUUGUUUUCUGUUUUUUUAAAUAAUAGCCAUCAUAAUAAAAGUAACAUGGUAUCUCAUUGUGGUUUUAACUGCAUUUCCCUUUUUACUGGAUUGUUUGUAAUAUUGCUGUAAUUGAGUUGUAGGAGUUUUUAAAUAUGUUCUGAAUAAUUAAUUUCUUAUCAGAUAUGUCAUUUGCAAAUAUUUUCUGCCAUUCUCUGGGUUGUCAUUUCACUCUCUUGAUAGUGUCCUUUGAUGCACAGAAGUUUUGAAAUUUGAUAAAGUUUAAUUUGCGUAUGUAUUUAUUUUGUUGCUUAUGCUUUUGGUGUCAUAUCCAAGAAAUUAUUGCCAAAUUCAGUGUCAUGAAGAUUUUCCCCUGUGUUUUCCUCUAAGAGUAUUAUAGUUUUAACUCUUGCACUUAGAUUGAUCCGCUUUGAGUUAAUUUUAGUAUAUGGGGUAAGACAAGGGCUCAAAUUUGUUCUUUUGUUUGAAGAUUCUAGGUCAUUUGUGAUCUUUAGGAUUUUCUAUGUAGACAUUAAUGUCAUCUUCAAAUAUGAACAGUUUAUUUCUUCCUUUUGUAUAUGUAUGAAUUUACUUUCCUUUUCUUGCCUUAUUGCACUGGCUAGAGUUUUCAGUACUAUGAUGAAUAAAAUCAGUGAGAGCAGACACCCUUGCUUUGUUUCUAAUCUUAGGAGGAAAGCUUUCAGUCUUUCAUCAUUAGGUAUACUGUUAGUUGUAGGCUUAUUAUAGAUGCUCUUUAUCAGGUUGAGGCAGUUUCCUCCUUGGUUAAGACUUUCUAUUUUUCAUUUUCAGUUAUGACCAGGCAUGUUCAUAACUGCUCAUCAAAACUUUGAAUUAGUGGCUGCUUUAACAUCCUUCUCAGACAAUUCUAACAUCUGUUUUGUUGGUGGUGGCAUCUAUCAAUUGUCUUUUUCAUUCUGUUUGAGAUCUUCCUUGCGUUUGGUAUGAUUUUUUUAAAUAUUAUGUCAUGAAACUGCAUCUUAUUUAAAUCUUCUGUUUUAGUUGGCUAUGUCUGACAUCACUUCCCCAGGGGAAGGUGUUGUUACUGCUAGUGGAGGGUGAGAAUUAUGGCUCUCCACUGACAUUGUGGUGGGAUUGGUCCCAUUACCACUGGGCAGGGUUGAAAGUCCUGACUUUCUGCUAGGCCUUCUCUGACUUCAUCGCAGCAGGAGGAAAAGAUGCCUCUGGAGUUGAAGUCAGGUUGCACUGACACUGUGUGUGUAUGGAGGUAGGCUGGGGUGAAAGUGGAGACUCAUUACCACAUGGUGAGUAGUUUCCAGCUCUCUAUUUGGCCUUCUCUGAUACCACCCAGACAGGGACAUUGGGGAUACCUCAUUACAGCCUAGUGAGGGUCAAACUCUAGGCUCCCCACUCAGUCUUUGCUAUCAUGGACACUGUAGGACCAUAGUUUUUUCUGUGCUGUUUGCUUGAUGUGUCUUCCUUGGACCCUGAGUUCCAUAGCUGGUCUGCAUUCCUCUCUCCACCUUUAAGACGUCUUCUUAUGUUUAUUUCAUAUUUAACAUCCAGGGUGGUAAUUAGAGGGAAGAAUAGAGGGAAAAGUACAGUUGCACUUUGUUGUUCAAAGAGCAGUUUUGAACUGCACAGACCCAUUUCUCUGAGCACACCCAGGGAUGAUUGUACUUGUAUAAAAUUUUUUUCCUGGAUGCAGAAUUCUCAAUUGACUGUGAAAGUUCAUAACAAAGAAAACAGUGGGGAAGACAAAUCUGGAAAUGAGGAAAAUAAAAAUUAAAUAGUGAGACCACCCAUGGAGCUUGUGGCAAAGCCUGAAUUGAAUCCGCUGUAUCUUAAGAUUGUGCCUCAUUCUAAAUUUAAGUCACCCUUCUCAUUAUGAAAGUGUCACAACUUCUCAGUAGGUGAGGAGACAGUCUAAAUUUGAGAAAAGAAAGUUACAACAAAGGUUUUGAGCAAGCUGCUAAGUGGAUUUAUUCAUGUUUGAGAAAUCAAAUAUAUGGUUAAUGAGCUCUUUAACUAGAAGCCAACACUAGGGAGGAGUAGACAGAAGUCACGGGGAGGGAGCCCCCGGACAUUUCAAAAGACUUUGCCCUGCAACAUCUCCUCCACAUUUAAGCUUUUAGGUUAUUGUAGCCACAUCACAAGCAUGUUACCUACCCAGAUAUUGUCUGCGCAUCAUUCCCAAAAGCUUCCCUGGGUCUUCAUAAUAUUAAUGAGAUUCUCCCCCAGGUUAGACCCCUUUGGCUUGAGUCAGAAACAGAAUUAAUCCGGGGGACAAUCCAGCAGCACCCAUCUCUGGGUUGCAGAAAUAUCUGAGGUGACCAGGCAGUGUUUGGAGUCCCCUCAGUUAGCUAACAAAGUGAGUUCACAGCUUCCAAGACCCCAGGCUUUCCAGGCUAAUAAAGAGCUGAGGUUAUAGGCUCUCCUUAUCAAACGCUCUUUGGCAGCUGCCAUAACCAUUCCAAGUCUAGUCCUAGAAUAGAAAUGACGCGGUUUCAGGAGCUGACAGAUGGAACUUUAAGCCUUCCUUCCUGCCACAUCUGAAGUUCUUUUUUAAAAAAAUAGAAAACCAUGACAAUAAACACUCCUUGAAUGCCCUGUGGAAAAGUGUACUCCUCAGAAUUCACUAAAGUGGGGUGAAGCAGUGGGUUGUGGUGCUGAGAAAACAUCUCUUCCCCUCGGCAGUAUAUUGGAAUCUCAUAGAAACUUCUGUGGCUGGGAAGCAAACAUGCUCUCUGCCCCAUUGCUCUUAUUCAUCUUUAGACCUGAUAAUACAGUUUGAACUUCAAGUUGCACUUUAAAUGGCAUGCAUUUUUA
rnacentral:lncRNA from 1 species